rnacentral:rRNA from 1 species
AUGAAGCUUCAGGUAGCCACAGUCGCCUCCUUCGUCCUGGUGGCCUUGGCCGCGGCGGCCCAGGCCGUGACGUUCGACGCGUCGAACAAGGCGUCGGGCACCUCCGGCGGCCGGCGGUUCAACCAGGCCGUAGGCCUCCCAUACUCCAAGAAGGUCCUCUCUGACGCCUCCGCCUUCAUCUGGAAAACCUUCAACCAGCGCGCCGUCGGCGACCGCAAGACUGUCGAUGCCGUCACCCUCGUCGUCGAGGACAUCAGCGGCGUCGCCUUCACCAGCGCCAACGGCAUCCACCUCAGCGCCCAGUACGUCGGCGGCAUCUCCGGCGACGUCAAGAAGGAGGUGACCGGCGUGCUGUACCACGAGGCGACGCACGUGUGGCAGUGGAACGGGCAGGGCAGGGCGAACGGCGGGCUCAUCGAGGGGAUCGCCGACUACGUGCGGCUCAAGGCCGGGUUCGCGCCGGGGCACUGGGUGAAGCCGGGGCAGGGCGACCGGUGGGAUCAGGGGUACGACGUCACGGCGAGGUUCCUUGACUACUGCGACUCGCUCAAGCCCGGGUUCGUCGCGCAGCUCAACGCCAAGAUGAAGAGUGGGUACACCGACGACUUCUUCGCGCGGAUUCUCGGGAAGAACGUGCAGCAGCUGUGGAAGGACUACAAAGCCAAGUUUAGAGGCUGA